rnacentral:misc_RNA from 1 species
UCCUGCCGUUAACAGAGCUCCAACUUGGUCCUUCAUCCAUUGAAUUUUAGCUGGGUUUGGCAGCAUGGUAACAAUUCGCUUUUCCUUGUGUGUGUUUAAAUCCAAACUUUGCUCACACCCGGCUGAACUUAAAGCACAAAACGUUAUACCGUUUUGCAGUUUCAUCUCUUCGAAAAAGGCGAUGUCCUUGUACUUGCAAUAAACAUCAAAAGGAGUUAACAUUUCAUUGUUG